AAAAGACUUAGUCCUAACCUUGCUAUUGAUUUUUGCUAGACAUAUACAUGCAAGUAUCUGCGCACCAGUGAAAAUGCCCUAACACCUCCUACCGAAGAAAAGGAGCAGGUAUCAGGCACACCUACAGUAGCCCAAGACACCUUGCUCAAGCCACACCCCCACGGGUAUUCAGCAGUAAUUAACCUUAAGCAAUAAGUGCAAGCUUGACUUAGCCAUAGCAAUUCUAGGGUUGGUAAAUCUUGUGCCAGCCACCGCGGUCAUACAAGAAACCCGAAUCAAUAGCCACCCGGCGUAAAGAGUGGCCAUAUGUUAUCAACAUAACUAAGAUCGAAAUGCAACUAAGCUGUCAUAAGCCCAAGAUCCAUUUAAGCCCUCCAAACCAUCUUAGCCCAACGAUUAAUUUUAAUCCACGAAAGCCAGGGCACAAACUGGGAUUAGAUACCCCACUAUGCCUGGCCCUAAAUCUUGAUGCCAUCAUACCCAUGCAUCCGCCUGAGAACUACGAGCACAAACGCUUAAAACUCUAAGGACUUGGCGGUGCCCCAAACCCACCUAGAGGAGCCUGUUCUGUAACCGAUAAUCCACGAUUCACCCAACCACCCCUUGCCAACACAGCCUACAUACCGCCGUCGCCAGCCCACCUAAAUGAAAGAUCAACAGUGGGCCCAACAGUCCCCCCCCCCCCACUAGCAAGACAGGUCAAGGUAUAGCCCAUGGGGUGGAAGAAAUGGGCUACAUUUUCUAACAUAGAAUAUAAACGAAAAAGGGUGUGAAACCCACCCUUGGAAGGAGGAUUUAGCAGUAAAGUGGGACCAUGUUCUUCCAAGCCUACUUUAAGAUGGCCCUGGGGCACGUACAUACCGCCCGUCACCCUCUUCAUAGGCUACUAACAUUAAUAAAUAAUACCCAUACUAAGCCAAAGACGAGGUAAGUCGUAACAAGGUAAGCGUACCGGAAGGUGCGCUUAGACCAC
rnacentral:ncRNA from 1 species